UACAGAGGGUGCGAGCGUUGUUCGGAAUUACUGGGCGUAAAGGGCGCGUAGGCGGUCUUUUAAGUCUUGUGUGAAAUCCCUCGGCUCAACUGAGGAACUGCACGGGAUACUGGAAGACUUGAGUUCGGGAGAGGGAAGCGGAAUUCCGGGUGUAGCGGUGAAAUGCGUAGAUAUCCGGAGGAACACCGGUGGCGAAGGCGGCUUUCUGGACACUAACUGACGCUGAGACGCGAAAGCGUGGGGAGCAAACAGG
rnacentral:rRNA from 1 species